AAAAAUACCUGAGCUUUUUUUAUAGCAUAAAUAGGUUAUAGUUGUUUUCAUGUUCCUGUCAGUAUACAUCUAUUCACACAUGGAAAUGAAUGAAUCAGCCAGUUCAUAAUGAUCAAGAUUAAGUCUUCCAAGAUAGAAAAACUGAGGCACCAAAACCAAAGGAUUCAAAUGACUUGCUUAGUAUUAUACAGGAAGACAAGGGCAGGUGCGGAAACCCCAUGGUCCCAGGUUGGAGAAAACUAAUAAUGGGAAACCACAAAAAGAUGCACUUGAUGGUCUUGUCCUCCCUCCAAUGUAACCGAAAGCAGUGGAACAUGAAACUAAAUAAAGAUGUUUACUGACAGACUAAUAAACAAAUGGGCC